CUCCCCUUUUCUUCAAGAACCUACGCGUAAUAAUCUUUCUCCUAUUUUCUUCAAAAACCUAUGCGUACAACCAUCCAAGAACAAGAAUACAAUGUACAACAACAAUUCCCAGCUUCAGUGAAACAGCAUUCAAACCCACUGACCCACUCGACCAAAAUCCAUCCAAAUCGACCCAACCCGUCAUCCUCAACCCAAAAUUUGGCGAAAACCAACUUCCCAAAGUCGACCUGACUUUGACCCGCCUAGAUGGCGUGUGUUUGUUACGAAAAUUUAACAGAAAAUUCUAGAAAUGGGUGAGCUGGCUCACCCCAACGUUCAAAUCCCAUGAAUUUCGGGUACCAUAGUACGAAUUCAUACAUAGAUGGAGAAUUUUCAUUAGCUCGGGGAUAUGAUUCUCCUUUCUUUUGAAAUUAGCAAUGGAUUUAGGAACGUUUUAGGGAGGGAAUUCCUUAUCUAGAAGGGAUUCCAUUUUUGGCGAGCUUCCAAAAAUACCCCUAAUUCGACUUUCUAUAUAAAUUGGUUCUCUAUUUCGGGGGGUGAAAGAUUUUUAGGUUAGGGAAAUUUGGGUUGAAAAUUCUGGGGCUCGAAAAAUUUUAUAAGUCUGAGAAGAGAAGAAAAUUUGCUUGUUUCUAAGGGGGGUUAGAGAAAUUUUAGGUUCGAAAAAGGGGGAAAUUCUGAAAAAAAAAAAAAAAGGAAACUGUUUUCAGUGAAAGUUCUUGUGUCUAAGGAAGGUUGGCGAUUAUUUAGAGUCUUUUAUUUUUUUUGGAAUCACGUUGAGGUCUUCUGGUGGUAGUUGAGAUUCCGUUGAAGCCUCGAGUCCUAUUUUGCUGCUCCCGAAUAGGAUUCCCUGGGAUUUUUCUUGGACAGAAGCAUCAAGAAAGAAGAGAUGAAGUCACGAUCUCUUACUUCUGAAAGUGAGGUUGAGAGGUGGAGUAGAAUAUUACAAUGGUCUACUUCCAUCUUCAAAAGCUUACUGCAAAAGUUCUUUUUUUUGUUUCUUUCCUCUUUUAGAACAUUUAGGAUUCUCAAUACCUUCCCGCCCUUGCUUGUCUUGUUCGUUUGUCAAACAAUAUUUGCCUUAAGUAAUCUAUGGCUUUACCUAUUCGAAAGGGUUCUGGAGUAUGAUUUAUUGGUCUUGAUUGAUAAGUGUCACUAUAUGUAUCUCUUCCGUUCAAAUUGUUGUGUGUUUCUCCUUGGGUUAGAGUGCCUGAUUGAACAAUUGAACACUUCAUUUUCUGUUGUUAUCUCUUACCACGAAAGCAAAAUACAAAAAUCCAUUUAUAGCAAUCUUUGUACCUUUUACAAACUUACACCUGACUUAUGUUUUGUGGUGUUAGUAAAUAAUUUAUAUAAGACAUGAUGUUUCCAGGGGAUAUGCAAAGGGAAAAGGUGCAUUUUGGUAUCUUUGCACACCAAUAUGAAAUGAAAUAUGAAUCUAAUGAAUUAUACUUAUUUUCUGACCUUUUUUAUUGCUUUUCUAUUGCUAGUUUCCCGUAUUAACAUUUUUCCCUUAUAAGCAUGUCUCAUUGCUCUUUAAUCAUCUUUUAAUUAUUAAAGAUCCGUGUUAUGUUGAUUUCUUUAAUUUGAUUAUGUAUCAACUCCCUUUACUUCUUUCUUCGUUUUUGGUUGGUCAUGUGUCAACUGACUUUAGUAAACUUCUCUCUAGGUUGGUUAAUGUGUUAAUUAACUUUUCUUUUCUUUUUUUUAUUCCUCUCAUUGGUAGUAUAUUAAUAUCCUUUAUUUUUCUUAUUUUGCAUAAAAAAUUCGUUGGAAUCCAAACGGAUUUUUCACUUCCCAUUUUGUAAUGGGCCAAUGAGGCCCAUCUUUCGAGUCAACCCCGAGACCAAGUCCAAAAGCCGAUCAUGAGGCGUAUGGAUGCUAGAAGAUAGAAGAAGAAAAUGCGGGUUAAAGACCCACAUUUGAAGCGGCUAAGACAUGCAAAAGUUUCAUUUAUUAUUUCAUUCCGUUAAAUUAUUAUUGUCUUUAUAGCCAAGGUUGUAUUUAACACAGGUAGAGGCAAGAUUCGAGCUAAACGCUCAAAAAUUAGAUUAGGACAGGUGAAAUGGGUCGAAGGCCCAAUUAGACAGGACAGGUUUUGUUGGUUUGGGCCAAUGGCCUAAAUCCUUUACUUCCUCCCCUUCCCCCUGUUCUUUAUGUUUGUUUUGCUUAUGUGCUUUGCAAACCUA